rnacentral:misc_RNA from 1 species
CACGAGUAAUGUUGAAACAACACCAGUCUGAACUGCUAUAACAAGAUUAGGGUGGCCCUUCGCUCCGUGUUUUUAUCGUUUCUAAUCACGAAGUCGUCGGAUAUUAUAGGUGGGCCUUUGUUGGUUCGCUUCGUUUUUCUUUUACACAAAACAAAUUCAGCAGAGAGAAGAGGGGGAGUUUAUCAGAGUAAAGGGGCGGAGUGGCAAUAGCCAACCAGGUGAAAUGUCUGACAAGAACAGCUUAGAUUUCAGCGACGAUGAAGAAGACGUUGAAGUGGGUGCGAUGAAUGCAAAUGUGGCUCAAGAAAUCAGCGGAACAUUGAGCAAGUGGACAAACUACAUCCAUGGCUGGCAAGACCGCUACAUUGUUGUCAAAGAUGGGGUAAUGGCAUAUUACAAAUCCCAGCAAGACACUGGUUAUGGUUGCAGAGGAUCAGUCAGUAUAUGCCAAGCCAGUAUCAAGCCACAUGAGUUUGAUGAAUGCCGUUAUGACGUCUGUGUCAAUGAUUCUGUUUGGUAUUUGAGAGCUGAAUCCCCUGAAGAAAAACAGAGAUGGCUGACAUUUCUGGAGAGUCAUAAAGUGGAAUAUGAAUCCAAUAAUGGGCAUUUGCGCCGACAUGGUAGUGCGGUUUCGUUAACUUCAAAUAAUUUUUCCACGGCCUCCGCCUCUAGUUUUCGAAAAGGGCGCGGAUUGAGAGAAAAGCUGGCUGAAAUGGAAACCUAUCGGGAUAUUCUCAUCAGACAAGUUGACACCUUGCAAGGUUUCUUUGAUGCUUGCGCUACAGCUGCUGCUUCUAUUCGGGUUCGUGAAGUUAACGCAAAUGGAAUCGGAAGUGAUUCGGACGAUGAAACUUUGAUAACGGAUAUGAAAGCCAUGCGUGCCAAUGUGGUUAAAAUGCCGGAUGAGAUCCUGAUUGAACGCGGUUCACAUGCUGUGGAUUUCCGCGGUGAAGCGCUCACUUUCAAGGCGACGACAGCGGGCGUAUUGGCCCGGCUACAACAUUGUCUCGACCUGUUCACCCAGAGCCAGGACGGUUGGCGGAGACGUCUUGAACGAGAAGUAGAGAAACGUAAAAAAGUGGAGGACCUUUACCGCCAGGCGCUGGAGGAACUACGAAUAGUAAGCGACAGUAAACCGCAUCAACAGUUGCUAGGGCAACGGAUCGGACAUGAGCCCAUUCACUAUCAGCAACAGCUCAGCGCCGAAUCAAAGCGGAUUGUCUUGGUCGGUGGACCGGAUUAUCAGGAGGGUCCCCACAGCACGAUUGGUGAAGACGAAUUUUAUGAUGCCGUCGAAGCUGGUCUUGACAAAAUCGAUGAAGAACAGCAGUACCUGGAGAGGUUGAAAAAUAAACAAGUGGUUCGCUUCGCCAGUCAAGCACCAGCCCAUCCUCUUUGGCCAGAGAUUGAACGUGUUACACUUGAGCAAUUACAAUACGCGCGGCUGGGAGUGGAGGGCGGCGUUUGGCAGCUUUUCGCCGAAGACGGUGAAAUGAAAAUGUACAAGCGAGAGGAAGAAGUGGACGGAUUGGCAGUAGAUCCGCUUAAAGCGGUGCACACCGUCAAAGGCGUAACGGGCCGCGAGAUGACCCAUUAUUUCUUCAGCCCAGAUGUUCGUUUCGAAUGGGAGACAACUCUGGAACAAAUGAAGGUGUUGGAAACUAUAGCUGACGAUACCCUUGUUAUCCUCCAAAUUCAUAAACGGGUGUGGCCGGCCUCGCAACGCGAUGCGCUCUUCUGGUCCCACGUGCGACGCGUGCCCAAUGAUACGGACCGUGAUGCCCAAGAUAUAUGGAUCGCCUGCAAUCAUUCAACAGAACAUCAUGAAGCACCGUCUAACGAAGGGAAAAUGGUGCGCGUUGCCUUGACAGUUUGCCUGGUGUGCCAAACGUCGAUCGAGCCACCGGCCGAUGGCGGACCCGUCACGCGCGAUCACUUGACUUGCAAGAUCACCUAUUGUUCCGUUGUGAAUCCUGGCGGAUGGGUACCCACUUCUGCUCUGCGAGCAGUCUAUAAGAGAGAAUAUCCCAAGUUUCUGAAACGGUUCACGCAAUACGUCAAAGAUCGUUGUGAUAAACAGCCGAUUCUCUUCUAAAUCAUUCUAGAAUUGUCUGCGUCUAAUUUGCUCUUCUGGAUAUGAGGCAUAUAUAGCUGGAUAGUACUGAGAAACCGGAAAAGUUUUGGUGCUGAUCGGCUCGCGGUGUUUCGUGCCCACCCGUAUUGUGACAUCAUCCAAUGGCUGACAGUGUCUUGUUUGUUAGUUUUUUUUUUCUUUUCUUCCUGUCUACAUGAUCCUUCGCCUUUGUUUCUCCCGAAAUUCUGUCGGAACUUUAUAGCUGGAACCACAAGAGAAAAUGAGGAAAUCCAAGUGCCUUUGCCGAGGUUCAAAAUAUCGUUGGAUACCGCGUGUGCAUUACUUCGCCGUCCGCUUAAUUAUGGUCGUUACUCUAAGGUCGCCUUUUCCCCUCAUCGGAUCACACUCUUUUGUCAGUCGUAUCAUCCUCUUUCUCUUUUCUUUCUUUGUUGUUCAAAAAUUGCGUCCAUCCAGUGUUGAUAACCUGUUGAGUGUCAGUAUUCUGAGCAAGAAACGAAGAAGAUGGAACACUGUGGGGAGUGAAUGUCAUUGUCCAGUUGUGCGCUUUUAGUCAUGUUCGAGCCACUUGUGAAUAUUUAGAGAUUGUUAUUGUUUCUUUUCCCCCUUCUUUUUUUGGGGGGCAUAUUUUCGCUGCACCGAAGCUUUGAUCCAGCGAUUUGUUGUGUCUACACUUGUCUCGCUCAGUCUGUUGUUCCAAGUGUAACACCUCAGCAUUUUCUGAUCCCGUGCACGUAUUGUCGUUUUCUUGAGAUCGUCUCGUUUGGAUGUCAACGUAUGAAAGUGUGUCUGCGACACUAUGUUUUCGUUUUGCUUGUUUGCAUAUUCUCUCAUUUUGGAAUCACAUUCGGCUACACAAACGUUGAAUCAUUUGUCGACUUUCACCGGAUAAAAAUACAAUACCGAUUAAUCGUCA